rfam:Talaromyces marneffei PM1 scf012, whole genome shotgun sequence.
GUCGGUGAUGAAGUGGCACUGGGCUCCGACGGCUGCAAAGCAGUUCGGUCAUGAUGGACACGCCCUUUUUGUGGCAGGCCUAGAAAACCUCGCCCACUGAGA